rnacentral:rRNA from 1 species
CUGGUACCUUCGGUGCCCGAGUUGUAAUUUGGAGAGGGCAACUUUGGGGCCGUUCCUUGUCUAUGUUCCUUGGAACAGGACGUCAUAGAGGGUGAGAAUCCCGUGUGGCGAGGAGUGCGGUUCUUUGUAAAGUGCCUUCGAAGAGUCGAGUUGUUUGGGAAUGCAGCUCUAAGUGGGUGGUAAAUUCCAUCUAAAGCUAAAUAUUGGCGAGAGACCGAUAGCGAACAAGUACAGUGAUGGAAAGAUGAAAAGAACUUUGAAAAGAGAGUGAAAAAGUACGUGAAAUUGUUGAAAGGGAAGGGCAUUUGAUCAGACAUGGUGUUUUGUGCCCUCUGCUCCUUGUGGGUAGGGGAAUCUCGCAUUUCACUGGGCCAGCAUCAGUUUUGGUGGCAGGAUAAAUCCAUAGGAAUGUAGCUUGCCUCGGUAAGUAUUAUAGCCUGUGGGAAUACUGCCAGCUGGGACUGAGGACUGCGACGUAAGUCAAGGAUGCUGGCAUAAUGGUUAUAUGCCGCCCGCUG